rnacentral:rRNA from 1 species
UACAUAGGUCUCAAGCGUUGUUCGGAUUCAUUGGGCGUAAAGGGUGCGUAGGCGGCGCGUUAAGUCGGGUGUGAAAUCUCGGAGCUUAACUCCGAAACUGCAUUCGAUACUGCCGUGCUUGAGGACUGGAGAGGAGACUGGAAUUUACGGUGUAGCGGUGAAAUGCGUAGAUAUCGUAAGGAAGACCAGUGGCGAAGGCGGGUCUCUGGACAGUUCCUGACGCUGAGGCACGAAGGCCAGGGGAGCAAACGGG